rnacentral:rRNA from 1 species
GGGGAAUCUUGCGCAAUGGGCGAAAGCCUGACGCAGCAACGCCGCGUGCGGGAUGAAGGCCCUAGGGUCGUAAACCGCUUUCGACAGGGAAGAAAAUGACGGUACCUGUAGAAGAAGCCCCGGCCAACUACGUGCCAGCAGCCGCGGUAAUACGUAGGGGGCAAGCGUUGUCCGGAUUUAUUGGGCGUAAAGAGCUCGUAGGCGGUUAACUAAGUCAGGUGUGAAAACUCAGGGCCCAACCCUGAGCGUGCACUUGAAACUGGUUUGACUAGAGUCUAGUAGGGGAGUGUGGAAUUCCCAGUGUAGCGGUGAAAUGCGCAGAUAUUGGGAGGAACACCGACAGCGAAGGCAGCACUCUGGGCUAGUACUGACGCUGAGGAGCGAAAGCAUGGGUAGCAAAC